AGCCCCGGGUAACUACGUGCCAGCAAUGCCGGUAAUACUGGCGGGGCAAGCGUUGUCCGGAAUUAUUGGGCGUAUAGCGCGCGCCGGCGGUUCCUUAAGACUGAUGUGAAACCCCACGGAUCAUCCGUGGAGGGUCAUUGUAAACUGGGGAACUUGAUGACACAAUAGGAUAGUGGAAUUCUGCCUGUAACGGUGUAAUGCGUAGAUAUGUGGAGGAACGCCCGUGGGCGAAGGCGACUCUCUGGUCUGUCUCUGACGCUGAGGUGCGAAAGCGUGCGUAGCAAACAGGAUUAGAUACCCCUGGUAGUCCACGCCGUAAACGAUGAGUGCUAGGUGUUAUGGGGCUUCCACCCCUUAGUGCUGAAGUCCACGCAUUAAGCACUCCUCCUGGCGAGUACGGCCGCAACGCUGAAACUCAAAGGAGUGGCGGGGGCCCGCACAAGCGGGGGAGCAUGUGUUUUAAUUCGAAAGAACGCGAUUAACUCUACCAGGUCUUGACA
rnacentral:rRNA from 1 species